AACCUGUGAUGACAUGAUUCUGCCAAAUGAAUCUGCUGAUUAUAUCCUUAUACCGUUCCAUAUAUCUGAGGUU
ensembl:snoRNA